GCUGAAACCACUCAUCGUUCCAGUCUUGAGUGAAGGAGAGUAAAAAAACGCUCUCCGAAGCUCUCGUCGUGUAUUUUUUUGUGGAUUAUUUGAGUGAAGGGAAAUACUUGAAGUCACACUUGUAUCACUAUUUAUGUGCUUGACAUUGAUUUCAUAUUUUUUUUGUAUAAUGUUCACAACUUAUUUACUAGUUUCACCUCAUUUAGGGUGUCU
rnacentral:misc_RNA from 1 species